rnacentral:lncRNA from 10 species
CGACAAUGACCGCAUUGAGGCUGCGCUUGGCCUCGCGCCUCUCCUCGAACAGCCCAGCGUCCUCUGGACCGUUUAAAAGAAAACAUAAAGAGGACUCUACCAUUAAGAUAGUCCUUACAAUUUCGCAAGCCCUUUCACGUGCAUUAUCUUGUGGAUCCUCUCAGUAAUCCCCUGCAAGAAGGAAUGAAAUCCCUUAAGGGCAGGGACCUUGUCUGUCUUGCUCACCACAGUAUCCCAUCCUAGAUCCUGGAAGCUGACUGCCUGAGAUGAGUUCUUCCUAUGUUUCCCAGGCUGCUCUCCAACUCCUGGGCACAAGUGACCCUCCUGCCUUGGCCUCCUAAAUUGCUAGGAUUGCAGGCAUGAGCCACCGUGCCUGGCCUCCAUUCUAUUAUUAUUAAUUAUUUGUAAACUACUAAAUGGAAACCACAGUAAGGUUUUCCUCACUAAGUUACUCCUUUGAGGGCAGGGGCUACUAACACCCGCUUUGAAACACCAUCCUUCUGAGGUCCUCUGGGAUUUUUUCCUGAAUGGUGGCCCUUGUUGCCAUCUUAAAGAUCUAGUCAAGAUAAAACAUGUUCCUCUGGACAACCUGAAUGGAGGGAGCAGCUUCAUACCCGGGCCUGACAACCUUGCACAUAUCCACAUAGGCCACAUAGGCAAUGCCUGAACCACAGCUGAUCUGAGUCUUGGCAGAACACCUUGGGAUCUUCCCAGAAGAUGAGUGCAUGAGAGGCUUGUAAGCAGCUAGUGCAAGGCCAUUUCCCACUCAGCUCUCUGUCUUCCAAAGAGACUAUCAUGAGGCAGUUUCUAUUGCUUCCUGGGUUCCAACGAGCCAUUCUGCCUUACCCUCUUAGAGUACAGCUGCAGGUUAUAACAAGGCUUAGCUGCAGCAUGGCAUUAACCCCUCAGCAACAAGGUGUCCACAGUGUAUGCUGUAGUCAUCCAGCCCCUUCUGUUUUGGUGUCAUCAUUUUGGUAUCUGAGACAAAAGCUCAUGGAGAGCUGGCACUUGCUUUUGCUUUCAAUGUCUGUGCAAAUAAUAAUAUGUCUAAAUUCAAAAAGGGUUCAUUUCUUUACCAGCCAAAUCUUUCAACCUUGCCUUGAUACCAAACAUCUGAUUCAUUAAUUAAUGGUAAAACGAACAAAAUGACCAGACAGAUACUACCUGGGUACCAGAGAUAAUAGAGAUGAAUAAAAUGAAGUCAUGAUUCCGUCUUUGUUUUUCCCUUUAAAAGAGAUGAGAUCUCACUCUGUUGCCCAGGCUGGAGUGCAGUGGCAUAAUCACAGCUUGCUGCAGCCUGGAACUCCUGGUAGGGAUCCUCCCGCCUCAGCCUUCUAAAACGCUAGGAGUACAGUUGUGAGCCACCAUGUCCAGUUUGAUUCCUUCUUUUAACAUUACCAUCUUGUUAAGGAAAUAAACAACAACAACAGAAAAAAACAAGUAUUCACAAGGCAGUGUAGAAGUGCUACAGUAGAGAAAAGCAGAAGGCCUGUAAGGGCUCCUAAAUGAGAUAGUGUGCUAAGAGGGAAGGGAGGCACCCUGAAAUGGAGGAAGCCAGCCAGAAAAGUUUUCAGGCUGGGCAUAGUGGCCUGCACCUUUGGUCCCAGGUACUCAGGAGACUGAGGUGGGAGGAUUUCUUGAACCUGAGGGGUUGAGGAUGCAGUGAGCUCUGAUCGCAUCACUGUACUUAAGCCUUGUGGACAGAGUGAGAUCCUGAUCAAAAAAAAAAAAAAAGUGUUCACACUGGAAGGAAAGCAUAGACCUUCAGAUUUGGUGUUAUCAGAUUCCAUCCAAGACUGAUUUUUUUUCCAGGCUUUGGAGCUCUCAGUCCCCUUCAGCUCAAAAGUAUCUCCCUCUGGGCACUUUAAGUACAUUGCUUAAAGAUUCCAUUUUAGCUAGUAAGUAUACAGUAUGAGGAGUCUUUUGAUUGCAAGUGACUGAAAACCUAAUAGGCAAGCAUCGUUAGCUUCCCACACAAAGUGCUUUCCCUUGCUUCUAAUACACUCCUGAUUUUUUUGGAUGGAGAGGGGGAACAGUGUGCCCAGCUGUAAGCAAUAAAGUGUAAUUGAGCUAAGCUAUCCAUGACCAUUCUGCUUCCCUGUGCCAGACCCUCGCUUUGCCUUGCUGGCACCGAGGAAUGAGUAUGUGAUUCAUUUCUGGUCCAUGAGAUAUAAGGGGAAAUGGUUUGUAUCUUUGAAGAAAUCUGUCUAAUUCAUUUAAGUUGUCAGAUUUAUUGGCAUAAAGUUGUUCACAAUUAUUUCCUUAAUAUCAUUAAUGUGAGUUCCUUAAUAUCUUUUUAAUGUUUGUAGGGAUGUCCCCUCUUUCAUUCCUGACAUUGCUAAUUUCUGGUUUCUUUUUUCUUAAUCAAGACUUCAAGUUUUGCUUGAGGCUUAUCAAUUUUAUUAAUUUUUCAAAGAAUCAACUUUUGGCUUUGUUUAUUUGUUUCAUUAUUUGUUCUCUAUUUAUGGAGUUCUUCUCUUAAUAAAAUUAACAGACAGCAAAAUAUGGCACUUUUGGGGGGGCAGAUAUUUCUGAGUUUUAGAUUUGUGAAACGACCACCAAAAUCAUGACACAGAAUAGUUCCAUCAUUCUAUAAAACUCCAUCAAGUUGUACUCAUGCCUUCGCCACAUCCCAAUUCAUGGCAACCACAGAUUUGUCAUCUGUCACAAUAGUAUUGACUUGUCCAGAAUGUAAUAAAAAUGGAAUCAUAAAGUAU